rnacentral:lncRNA from 1 species
GACUUUUAUUCACAAAGCUAAGAAUCAUAUCACAGACAGACUGCGAAUAUUAGACAGUACUAGCCGGAUUUACAAAUGUAGUUCUAAUGCAACUUUCUGGUAGAAUUUAAGAAUGCAAUUCCCUCGGAGAAAGAUGAUCUUACAUGUGUUUGUUAAUAAUUUUGAUUGGCAUAUCGUCUGUUUCAUUUGACAAGAUAAUAAUGAUUAAACACAUAACAUAAGGCAAUGUCUAUUUUGAAUCACACAUUGAAGUGAUUUCAUCUCAGUAAUAUAACAAAUCAGUGAUGUAUCACAUAUGCAAUUGCUUUCACAUAUUUAUUCCAUCAACUGAAUUAAUAAAAUGUAUUUUACAAUUUCACGAAGAUUUGUAAAAGUUUGAACGCUUUUCGGUGAAAUUUCUCAACGUUGCUGCUUUACUGUCAGGGUUAGAUUUUACCAGCAUAUCAGUAUUGAACGGACUUAAAUGUACAUCCUCAACGUUGCUGCUUUUCUGUCAAGGUUAUUUUGUACCAGCAUAUCAGUAUUGAACGGACUUAAAUGUAUAUCCUCAACGUUGCUGCUUUUCUGUCAAGGUUAUUUUGUACCAGCAUAUCAGUAUUGAACGGACGUAAAUGUAUAUCCUCAACGUUGCUGCUUUUCUGUCAAGGUUUGUUUGUACAAAAUAUCAGUAUUGAACAGAUUUAAGCGUACAUCCCAAUGUUUCUGCGUUUGUUUAAGAACUAAUGAUUCUCAUUCUGAAAAUAAUAAUGAAAAAUAAUAAUAUAGUUGAGUAGUAAAUUGUUAGCAACUUUUGCAUCACGGAAAGAGGUAAGGACUGGGAUAACAUGUGAUUCAAUGUAUGUUCAGGCGUAGAUUACCUUAGCCGUAUUUGGCACCACUUUUGGGAAUUUCGGA